rnacentral:tRNA from 1 species
GGCAGUAGCUCAGUCGGUAGAGCAUUAGCUUCCCAAGCUGAGGGUCGCGGGUUCGAGUCCCGUUUGCC